rnacentral:rRNA from 1 species
CCUACGGGUGGCAGCAGUGGGGAAUAUUGCACAAUGGGGGAAACCCUGAUGCAGCGACGCCGCGUGAGUGAAGAAGUAUUUCGGUAUGUAAAGCUCUAUCAGCAGGGAAGAAAAUGACGGUACCUGACUAAGCAGCCCCGGCUAACUACGUGCCAGCAGCCGCGGUCAUACGUAGGGGGCAAGCGUUAUCCGGAUUUACUGGGUGUAACGGGAGCGUAGGUGGCAUGGUAAGCCAGAAGUGAAAACCCAGGGCUCAACCCUGUGGAGUGCUUUUGGAACUAUCAAGCUAGAGUGCUGGAGGGGUAAGCGGAAUUCCUAGUGUAGCGGUGAAAUGCGUAGAGAUUAGGAGGAACACCGGUGGCGAAGGCGGCUUACUGGACAGAAACUGACACUGAGGCUCGAAAGCGUGGGGAGCAAACAGGAUUAGAUACCCUUGUAGUC